AAAGCCUUGAAAUACAGGUGAACGCAGCAGGCCCAGUGAUCUUCUACCAGGGCUGAAUUCUGCAACGCCUGUGUCUCCACUUGUGUCACCUCUGCCUGGGAGCUUAGGUGCUGCUUUGGAGAUUCCCCAGUAGCGAGGUGAUAGAAAAAUCAUGGGAAUUAAGGAAUGGCUGGAGUGAAAGGAUGGAUGUGGCUUGACUGGCCAGGUCAAAAGGCUUAUUCUGGUGCAAUCUGUGUGAUAAAAGCAGGAAAAGUAGAAAAACUGUUUAAUUGAUCACAUACAGCACUAUUAUCAGCAUGAAAGAGAGUUCACCUAACUGUGGAAUCCUUAGUCUGCUGCCACAUGAGAACUUGAACAGAAUAUCUUCCUUCUGGCUACUGAGAUGAAGUGUCAAGGCCACCAAGCAAGCAUGAUGGUUUAUAACAAUCAACAUGAAAACUGCGAUAAAAUUAAAAUAGAUACAAAUUCA